UACGAAGGGGGCUAGCGUUGCUCGGAAUCACUGGGCGUAAAGCGCACGUAGGCGGAUCGUUAAGUCAGGGGUGAAAUCCUGGAGCUCAACUCCAGAACUGCCUUUGAUACUGAAGAUCUUGAGUUCGGGAGAGGUGAGUGGAACUGCGAGUGUAGAGGUGAAAUUCGUAGAUAUUCGCAAGAACACCAGUGGCGAAGGCGGCUCACUGGCCCGAUACUGACGCUGAUGCACGAAAGCGUGGGGAGCAAACAGG
rnacentral:rRNA from 1 species